ensembl:snRNA U6 U6 spliceosomal RNA
GCGCUUGCUUCAGUAGCACGUGUCCUAAUACGGGAACAAUCCAGAGAAGAUUAGCCUGACACCUGAACAAGAAUGACAUGCACAUUCGUAAAACAUUCCAUAUUAAA